rnacentral:rRNA from 1 species
CACUCCUACGGGAGGCAGCAGUGGGGAAUAUUGCACAAUGGGCGCAAGCCUGAUGCAGCCAUGCCGCGUGUAUGAAGAAGGCCUUCGGGUUGUAAAGUACUUUCAGCGGGGAGGAAGGCAAUACGGUUAAUAACCGUGUUGAUUGACGUUACCCGCAGAAGAAGCACCGGCUAACUCCGUGCCAGCAGCCGCGGUAAUACGGAGGGUGCAAGCGUUAAUCGGAAUUACUGGGCGUAAAGCGCACGCAGGCGGUCUGUCAAGUCGGAUGUGAAAUCCCCGGGCUCAACCUGGGAACUGCAUUCGAAACUGGCAGGCUUGAGUCUUGUAGAGGGGGGUAGAAUUCCAGGUGUAGCGGUGAAAUGCGUAGAGAUCUGGAGGAAUACCGGUGGCGAAGGCGGCCCCCUGGACAAAGACUGACGCUCAGGUGCGAAAGCGUGGGGAGCAAACAGGAUUAGAUACCCUUGUAGUCCC